GUAGAGGCGGUGAUGAUCAGAACUACCUAUUUUCUGAGUGAAAAAUUUUCACUUUAUGAUUAUAAAUCACCAAUGGAUCCUUCUGAGCCUCUC